UACGAAGGGGGCUAGCGUUGCUCGGAAUCACUGGGCGUAAAGCGCACGUAGGCGGCUUUUUAAGUCAGGGGUAAAAUCCUGGAGCUCAACUCCAGAACUGCCUUUGAUACUGGGAAGCUCGAGUCCGGGAGAGGUGAGUGGAACUCCGAGUGUAGAGGUGAAAUUCGUAGAUAUUCGGAAGAACACCAGUGGCGAAGGCGGCUCACUGGCCCGGUACUGACGCUGAGGUGCGAAAGCGUGGGGAGCAAACAGG
rnacentral:rRNA from 1 species